rnacentral:lncRNA from 1 species
CACAAACAAAAUUACAUCAGACAGAGUUCAGGCCUCGGAGAAUUUUCAUGAGUACCUAUUAGCAGCUGAGUAUUCCUCUGGUUGAAUACUUGCCUGUUUUCCACCCAAAGCUUCAGGCAUCCUUACUUAGUAUUUUCAUGGGAUUACUGGGAUAGUGUGCUACUGAACUCCCUGAGAGCUUUGGCAAUGCCUUGUUGGAGAUGAGAUCAAUUAUCAGUGUCUAUUCAUGCUUGUGAAAAAUGGACAUUUGUAACUGCAAAAGCUUCUCAUUCCUCGGAAACUGCAUGCCCUCUAUCUCUCUAAGUAGCAAAAUCACAGAUUUUUAUUUGUUAUCAACUCUAAAACUAGGUCAUCUGAGUCAGUGGUUUAAUAACUGGUCACGAUAAGGACAUAGUGGUUUCCCCUCUUAAAUCAUUGGUUCAAAUCAGUACUCAGACGAUCAUUGUUGCUUACCUUUCUUGCCAUCUGGUUCAUUGGCUGUUAUCAGCUGAAAGGAACUGGUCCAGGACCCAGAGAAGAAGUGCUCCUAUCAAUAGAAAGUUCCAUCACGAUGGGGAUUUGUCCUGGGCACUUGACAAAGGCACAAGAAACCCAUAAAAUGAACGGCAGGUACUGAUGCAGAAGCUUCCACCCAGGAUCCAGGUUGCUUUCGGAAAAGAGAAAGGAGGGGUGGUAGAGGGGGAUGGCAUUCCCAGAUCUCCGCGAGGAAUUCUUCCUUGAGAUUCGUCAGUUUCCCCCAGAGACUUCCCCACAUGAAUGGGGCAUGGAGCUCGAUUUCUAUUGAACUACGUUACCCUGGAUUCUACAAAACUGGGAUUGUUGAACAUUGUGGGACAUUCGUGUCAGGCGUCACAGUCUGAAGAGAUCAGGGGCCGCACCAGGAGUGUGUUACGGCCCGCGCCUUUUUUGUUGUUGUUGGCUUGGCCAUUGCUUGCCGCCCAGUAUCGAAUUCUAUUGAAGACACGCCUAAAGUUCUUUCUCUGGAAGUGGAGAGCAUCCUUUGUCAUAAGUCCCUCAGAAAAGUCUUGGAUCACUAUAUUGAGUCCAUCCCAGACUUUGAAUGACCAUUUUUAUGGAGUAUUCCCCACAAUAUAACAACUGGAGUCAUCAUUUAUUUGUGCGAUUACCUUUUAUGUGAUUUAACAGAUUGAUUCUCAAGGGAAAUAGUCCCAAGUAUUUCUCCCUGUACCCAAGGGAAGACAUUAGUUGGAGUUGUGAGUUGUUGUACACAUUUUCCCUAGCCAUGUAUUCUUUUUGUAUGUUUCUUUCCUCACAUGUACUAUAGCCACAUGCAUUCCCUAUGAGUGUAUAUCUCUGAGUAAAUCCUUUACACACAUGCUUCCUGUAUGUGUCAAUUGAUUUGUGUGAGAACGUGCCCCAAAUUUAUGGAGGAAAUGU